GUCCCUGUAACACAAUGGAAUAGCGAGUUGGACUUCAAAUCCAAAAAGUUCGUGGGUUCGAAACCCACCUGGAAUG